ensembl:lncRNA
UGUAUAUUGCUGAGAAAUAACUGUGAAGUCUAAUCGCACAUUUCUUGGUGCACAGAUCAUAAACAUUCACAAAGAGCCACGUCUCAUUUCUGCAGUCCCUUUAUUGCUGCAUUUACAGUACACACUCACAUACAUAAUGCAUGGUGUUAAAAGUCCUUUGGUUAAGGAAGUAUCUGCCAAAAUGUUUUUUUUUUUUGUUUUUUUUUCUGAAUAAUUUACUGAAUGCAGUACAACAAAGAUUCCAACCUAAUAUAUGAAAAGCCCAGUUUGAGGCGUCUGUGGUGUUGUGCAGAGAUAUUCAGCCUGGCUCCAUAUUACUGUAAUUAGGCAUAGAAAUGCAAAACUCACAAUUCCCAAAACUCAUAUCUCAAUCUUCUCUUAGAUUCCCUGGCUACAAGAGGCUUCUUUCUCUUCACACUUGGACUCCUUAAAUUUCAUACACAUUGCAUUUUCACACAUGACUGAUCAUAGAAGAAACAUAAGAGCGGGCAGCCAAGCGAGUCCAUAAGGAUACAUGCUACGAUUUGCUUGUACUGGGCACAUACAGCAUGGCCAAGACUCGCCUGUACGUGACUCGUUCAAACUGCCAGCAAGUUUACAGAAAGUCCUACAGCUGAACUGAACAUUCGGAUAUGAACCAAAAACUGGAAUAAGGAAAAUGAACAGAAUGAAGGAAAACAUCUCAACAUAAAUCAUGAAUAUUUUCUUCUGCACGAUUUUAAACCUCUAAUACAUGGUAGUACUUGAAUCUGGGUCACUUCUAGGUGAAAAAUAUUGCUAGGUUUCUCUAUACUUAGAAAAUUAAAUAAAUAAAACUUUGGUACUCUCUGUCCCAACAAACUAAGGUAUGCCAAACACAUUUGCCAAUAUUCCAUGUCUGACAGUAUAUGGAAUGUCAGACUGAAAUCACAGGGCGUUUUUAAUGAGCCAUAUCAGCCUCCAUAGGUGCUGGAAACGAGGCAUAAAAUGACUUAGGAUCCUAUAGGUUGCGUGGAAUGUAGAAACAAUGCUCCAAUAAUAAUUCUUCCUUAAUUAAUACAGCUGACAGGUUGUUUAUCGAGAAAUGCAGGAGAGCGUAAGACUGGUUAUGCAUGCAAUCAACCACACACAGACACACAGCUAAGCCAGUGACAGCUAACAAUCUUUGGAAUACAUUACAUAAAUCAGUCCAUUCCCUCUAAUAAUGCACUGCUGAAUUUAAAAGAGGCAUCUGUGGAAUGUGGAAUGAGGAGAGGCCAUGAUAUACUCCAACAUUUUCCUUUGAAGAAAUCUUUACCCAGCUGCUUAUCACUGUGCUGAAUGUGAGAGUGCCUGAGGGCACAAAGCAAACACAAACAAUCAGCAAGCCUUUGAAAUUAAACUGACAUUAGUAAUUAUAAUGGAAGGUCAAUUAUAAUAUUUAAAGUGAUUAUUUGAAGAAUUAGUUAAAUGCCUUUAAGAAAGCAUAAUGAUUUCUAGCAGUGGCUAAAAAUUGUUUUGUAUAAAUUGUUCCCAAUAAAUAAUAAAAUAUGCUUUCUUAAUUUGCAUGAAGACAACUACUGUAUGUGUAUCAGAUACUGAGAUUUAGCCAUAAUGCUUUUUAUACUAGUUUUUUACAACAUUUAAACACUAGUCUUAUGAUCAGUUACAGAAUUAAAAACAAGUACAGUGACCCCAAAAGUAUAUGGACACUUAAGUCACAAAUAAAAAUGUAUGAAUACCACUGAAUUAUAGACAACAUUUACUUUCAAGCAAGAUAGGGCUCUCUCUCUCUCUCUCUCUCUCUCUCACACACACACACACACACACACACACAUAGAGUUCCCAUGUUUUAUUGGGACUCUUCAUAGACGUAAUGGUGUAUACUUUAUAAACUGUAUUUUCUAUACUUUUACCCUAACCCUACCUCUCAAACAAAAUGUUCUGCUAUUUUAGAUUUUCAAAAAGAUUAUUCUGUAUGAUUUAUAAUGUUUUUUAUGGGCACCAAAAAUGUCCCCACAAGGUCAAAAUUUACUGGUAUUAUUAUCCUUGUGGGGACACAUGGCCCCCAAAACAUAGGGAAUAUGAGGAACACUGAAUAAGUGUUAAGAAUUUAGUCAAAAGUAUUCAGACACUUUCUAGUUGCUCUGCAAGGACACUUUAAGACCACCUGGUCAAGAGUAAUAGAACCAAUGUGUCAGUUUUGAUUAAAAAUCUUUUAGAGUCAAUGUAACUGUAUACACUGCUGUUCACCAAGGCUGCAUUUAUUUAAAUACUAUCUCAAAAAACAACAACUAUUUUUAACAUGUUGUAAAAUGUAAUUUAUAUGCAAAGCAUCAUUCCUCCAGUCUUCAGUGUCACAUGAUCCUUCAGAAACCAUUCUAAUGUACUUAUUUGGUGCUCAGAAAACUUAUCAUCAUUCUCUGUCAUUAUUCUUAUUAUGAUAAAUGUUGAAAACAGUUAAGCAGUGCUGCUUAAAGUUGUUGUGGAAACCACAAAGCAUUUUUUCUUUGAUGAAUAAAAAGUUCAUAAGAACAAAAUGUAUUUUUUUUGUUCAUUUUUGUAACAAUGUUGAAAUCAUUACUGUCAUUUAUGAUCAAUUUAAAGCAUGCAUGCUGAAUAGUAUUUAUUCACUAUUAUUUACUGUUUACUGCCCCCAAACUUUCUGACCACCAAAAGAUGAAUCUAAAGACAUGUCACACUGAACUGAAACCACAACAGCAAAACAUGUAGGAAGCUGUCAGUUUUCAAGCGAUUACACCAGAGUGUUUUUCCUGUGAUGAUGUGAAGGCUGAGCACACUAAUUAUCCACAACACUGCAUGACAGUAAGGUGCUCUCUGAUGUCUGGCCAGAUUGAUCUGAUUGGAUAAUCAGCUGGUACUGAGUACAGAACAUGUGUUCUGUACUUUCAUAGUACCACCAGCAAUCACAGAAAAUCUCUCAGUAUCCAUGUGGAACAAGGGAGAAAAGAAAGCAAAGAUGAGAUGAGAAGUGUUGAAAGGACAAAUUAAGAAUAAGAUGGAGGCACUGUUACUUUUACAGAACUGAGCAAACCCUUACAUCCUUACUCUUAUCCUUACAAAAAAAUCAUAUUCUACAAAUUAAACCACAACUUUCCUAUUGACUCUGUAGGAAUGCAUUAGCCAUAGCAUCAAAAAAACAAAACAAAUAUUGCUUGUCUCAAACAAUGAAGACACAAAUAUUUUAAACCUUAUUGAGCACUUUAAUAAACAGUUUUUUUUUUAAAUCAAGUAGUAGUUAGAGCAGGAAAUUUGGUGGUUUGUGGUUUAAACAAGUUUAUCUGUACCUUACCUUCACAUAUCCUCAAGAAUAUCGAAACAUAAUACUGCAAAUGAUCAAGGAAGGCCACUGGUACAUGCUUGUCAUACUGCUUGUUUUGCCAUUUCAUAAUGCUUUUAAAAUAUGUCUAACUUCACUCUCACAGUGUGGCAUAAUGACCAGACUGUCCACAUGCAUGCUAACCUCUAAAGGACUGAUUUCAUUACUGUCAUUAAACACACAAUGCUUAGAAAGCAUUUUCAAAUCUUCUUGUUACAAGACAUGUUAGGCACAGUUUGGUUAAAACAACAUUUAACACAUAUGAUAGAAAGCCUUUUUUCUUUGUCUGGAUCAGACUGAAUUCACAACAGGGAAUAAAAAUCUUGACAUUGUCAAAAUGGACUGAAAUUAUGGCUUCUUACAGAACAAAUUUUUUAAGACAUGACUUUUUUGAAUGACAACUAUUCAGAUGGAAAUUCCCUUCAAAAUAAAAAAUAAAUAACCCACAUUACUCAACCAAGUAUCCUCAUCUAUUAAGUAUGCUCUCUUAGUUGCCAUGUGAUUGUUGAGCAACUGUUUCGCAAACUAAAAGAUCAGUGUGACCAACAGUAGAAGAACUUUUAUUGCCUCUUGAGGACAGCAGAGAAUGAGGCUCAGUGGUUUUUAGAGUCAUUCCUUCUUGCCCCCCACCUCCCAUUUCUCACUUAGCAGAUAGUCCAGAUAAACAUCCAUAAAUAAUCAUGGAUUAAAAAAUGUCAAAGGGAAAGGAUGGGGCGCUACCCUCAAUUUAUCAAAUUCCUCUUGAAACUCUCGCUACUGUGAAGUUACAAAACAAAGUUUAUUUACAUAUUUCACACUGUCCUGUCACAGUCCUACUUGCUUAAACAUGGGAUUUAGUUGCGCUGCCAGAUAUGUCAGCAGCCGCUUUGUCACCAGCACCAGCAAUCCAGUGAUAGCAAUCACUGGUGUUCUUGUUCUGUGGUUUAACUGUGUAGCGUGUACAAUAGAUAAUGCCCAGGACCACCAUCACCACAAUGAAGAUGCAAAGUGGCACUAGCAAUCCGAUUAGCAACCAGCUGGUUCCUUGGCUCUGGUUACUGCUGUUGUCAUUAUCAAUAAUGACCUCCUCUAUUCCUCGUGACUGCAUUGGGAACAGGGUAGAAGUUUGUUGCCCUGGACCAAAGGUGGUUGAUUCAACAUCAUACAUGUCAGUAUUAUCAUGGUCUUGUUCAUAAAGCUCAUAUUCUCCAAAAAGGUCGAGAGGGUUCUUUGCAGUUUCCUGUGUCUCAGGCUUUGUUUGGGUUGAGCUGAACCAGAGCCAAUUCCAAGCGCCGCCUGAAGCUGUGGAGGAAGGGAGGACUGUGGGAACCGUGGUGCUCUCAUCCUCAUAAUAGUCUGGUGUGGGCGUCUGAGUUGCUGGUGGAAAAAAAGCAUUAUGAACUGGUUGUUCUGGAUUAAGGUCAAAAUUAACAUUAAUGACCUCAGGGGAGCUUUCAGUCAGUGUAGUAGUUUCAGGUUCCUCUUCAGUUGUCAAAAUCAGGUCUGUCGGAACUGUCUCCACAUUGGGCAGCUCAGUCUGCCAGUUCCAAUCAGAAUCAGGUGGAGGGUGCCAUGGGUAUGCAGGAUCCUCUGGUUUCCAAAUGGGGUUGUGAGUAAUCCAUGGGUUGGAGACAGUGGUUGAGAGAGUCUCCAUGUCCUCCCCAACGGGCCUGCAGGAAUAUUGGUCAGAUUGAAGAGUAUAACCUUCUUCACAGUAGCACUCAAAGCCUCCAUCAUAAUUGAUGCACAUCUGCUCACAUGUUCCUUCAAUUUGACAUUCGUCAAUGUCAUGACAUUUACUCUGACAUGCUCACAGGGACUCUGUAGGCAUUCAUCGACAUCUACACAGCCCCGUUCAUCAGGUGCCAGCAUGUAGCCAUCAGGACAAGCACAGCGGUAGCCAUCCAUCACACGCAAGCACUCGAACUCACAUGGAGCCCCAUUGCAAGGGUCAGACGGAAAG